UCAGUCCAUCCGGACCGCAGCGCGAUGUCAAAUCUGGACCGGUUCGGGUUCCCGGAACAAACAUCAUUUAUAAAGUCCUUCUUAGAAGCCAAAAAUACCCUGUCAGGAAGAGACAGAAAAGGGCCAUUUGGAUGGAAAUCAACCAUUUUGCACACUAAAAUCCAUUUUCAAACAAUCUCGCCUGAUGGAGCAAAUUGAUCCGAGGCUUAAUCUGAAUUCAGGACGAUAGUUGUGCCAGCAGUGGGGAAGGGCCAAAGUUGAAGUGCAAAUAAAGUACUUUUUACAGUUGCAGCCUUUGAAUUCUGCCAGAGUUUUCCAAAUUGAUUGAGCUUCAUAGUGAACAGACCUGGCGAUAUACUCUCUGCAGGCCUCCGAGAGAGCGGGACUCUCGUGUUUCACCAUACACACCAACGCUGACACCACCCCAGCCUCCAAGAGCUUCAGCACCCUCUUCUCUACAAACGAUUGGGCAUCCUACACAAAAACACAACGUGAAUGAGCGCCUCCACUGCCACCUGCUGGUGAGUGAUGUUUUCAGACGCACAGAGGGAGAUGACGGCCUCCAUGAUCCCGCUCAG